CCUACGGGAGGCAGCAGUGGGGAAUAUUGCACAAUGGGGGAAACCCUGAUGCAGCGACGCCGCGUGAGUGAAGAAGUAUCUCGGUACGUAAAGCUCUAUCAGCAGGGAAGAAACUGCAGGUUACUCACAAAGAAGCCCCGGCUAACUACGUGCCAGUAGCCGCGGUAAUACGUAGGGGGCAAGCGUUAUCCGGAUUUACUGGGUGUAAAGGGCGCGUAGACGGCAGCACAAGUCUGGAGUGAAAUCCCGGGGCUUAACCCCAAAACUGCUUUGGAAACUGUGCGGCUGGAGUGCAGGAGGGGGAAGCGGAAUUCCUAGUGUAGCGGUGAAAUGCGUAGAUAUUAGGAGGAACACCAGUGGCGAAGGCGGCUUGCUGGACUGUAACUGACGUUGAGGCUCGAAAGCGUGGGGAGCAAACAGGAUUAGAUACCCCAGUAGUC
rnacentral:rRNA from 1 species